rnacentral:lncRNA from 1 species
CAAACCUGCACAUUGUGCACAUGUACCCUAGAACUUUAAGUAUAUAUUUUAAAAAACUAUAUAUUUCCAACAAAUUUUUAAAAACAUGUUUGUGAGAAAAAAUUAAAAGUAGAGUUGUUACAAAAAAAAAUGUUGGUCCUCCCCAAUCCCUCCCCUUUGGGCAAUUCACCUUACCAUUCUGAGUCAUAGUUUUUUAUUCAUUUGUAAAGCUAAGCUAGUAAUACUUACAAUGACUAUGAGUUUUUAUUAGAAAUCAUAUCUAUAAAUCUCUGUUCUUAUUAGGCACUCACUGAAAUGUCCUCAUCACCCUAACUUUACUCAAGCCAGUGUGCUGUAUCUUAGAAACAUUAGUUGCAGUUGUAGGUGUCUGCAUUCCUCAAUACAACAAUCCAGCUCUAAACUUUUGCUCUGUCUUGGAGAUUUCACUCAGUCUGUUGUGCAAGAACAUUUAUAAAGCAAGCAACACAUCACCUCUAAAUGGAACAUCUCCAUUUCUCAAAGGCCACAACACCACGUCUGGUUUCGUGAAAGACUGCUCUGGUGGAUGGUAAACUGGACAUCUCAGCAAAGACUCAUCAUUCUACACUCAGCUGUGCUGAAAGUCUGUUUUACUGUGGGCACCCCAUUAGGCCAUCAAGGGAGCUUUGAUGUGCUGUAUGAAUGAGCCUGUGUGAAAUCUGAGCUCGAGAGUGGGUCCCUCCUGCCAGGUCAGAAUGUGCGAGCAUCCAUCUUACCAGUUACUUGAAAAUGUAUGGCUUUUUCCUGUUAUAAAUCUCAUUUUAAUUUUGUUCCUGCAGUGAAUGCGGAGAUAUGGUUAUGCGUACUAACAGCCUUACACAUUCUAAACCUGAAAAUGAAGAAAAUAUUCUCACCAAUGAUAACAAAAAUAAACUUGCCGAUAAAAGAGUAUUAUUGUUAUGGAUUCUUAAAUUUUUAUGUCUCAAAUUUUCUUUCGCAUACUAUGUAUAUUAACUAGGGCAUUGUAGAGAAAUUAAAGCAACAGUGAAUGACAGAAAGAAAAAGACUACGAGCAAAGUAUCUCUUAAGAACUGCAUAGCAAAUGAUUAUUUAAGUUUUCCCUCUUCCUCCCCUUGCAAUUCCUUUCUUAGAUGUUGCAUUAUUUAAACAGUAAACCAAACUGUCUUUAAUUUCCUCCAAUUGAAAUAUACAACGUAGUGUAUUCUUUUUAGCAAAAGGAAAAAAAAAUUUUUUAAAUCAAAGUAGUCAAUAUAAACAGAGCAAGGAGGCAGUCCUAUACCAUUCAGGAUUACAAAAAGAACAUAGAGAAUUAAGCUCCACACUUUUCAAGAAUGCUGAAACAGAAACCUUCCAUUAAAGUAUUAAUUCUACUCACUCCAGAAGUCCAUCUUUUCCCAUAACCUGACCUGCCCUUAGGCUUCUCACAGUAAAGUGGUCUCAGCCCAGCAAAGGGAGGUUCAGUCAAAGCGGGUGGAGUUGUUUGGUUCAGGUGUCGAAGGGAACGAGUGCCUUAGGCAGAUCGGAACCACCCGUGCAUGCAGGUCUGGGGGCCUCCGUGCAGGUGAUGGAUUGCCAGACCGGAUUAGGGGCCUGGGGACAGGCGACUCCUCAACACCUCUAGAAGGCAGUAAAAAUGAUCCCUCACAAGCAUCUUCAAUGCCUCUCUCAUCUUUCAGUCUGAUUGCGCCCUGGCCCUGUGAAAGGAGCACACUAGCCUGACUCCAUUCCUGACCUCAAAUUCUUCCUGCCUCCUUGGGAGCUAAGCCCUGUUCUGGAUGAGGAGGUUUAGAUCCAGGGAGUGCAGCAGGAAAGGGGAAGGGUGAUCUGGAAAAUGCUUGGACAUCAUUGGCAAAUAACAAAUCAUCCCUCAGAUAAAAAUAUACAUGUCUGACCACUGAUCAACACUUGAAAGCGGGGGUGUCAGCCUAGAUUCUCAAGGACAUAAUUUACAUGAUCACGAUUUCUUUCAUGUUCAAAGUGAAACUUAUAUGGACUAACCAAACCCUACUGGCCUCACUGUCAACACUAUCUCUGAAUAUUCCUAUCCCCCAGCUCUGCGCCCACUACAAAUUCCCCCAGCAUGGCACACAGCCCUCCAGCAUGGGUAUUCAACAGCAAUGGCCUUCUGGGCUUGGCCCACUCAGUGUUGUACCUACAGGGUCCAGCAGUAGGCCUGGCCCUGGGUAAGGAAGAAUCACACCCAUCAUAGGAGUCUGGGGGCUGGGUGGUGGGUAGAAGGGUUUAUGAAAAGCUGAGGGUGUAACUGUAUUCACUCACACAUGUACUCAUUCAGUCAUUCAGUCAGUCAGUCCAUCGUUCAACUGCUACCACCUGUCCACAGUCUUCCUGGCUCUAGGGAUGUUACUCUGGAAGAAAGCAAGCUGGUCCCUUCCCACAUAAACCAUAGGAGAAGAGGCAGGAAGGAACUUGGUCUUCUGUGGGUGUGAUGCAAUACAUCCAAGGCCCCAAGAACACACCAAAGGGCACUUAACUUGGACCUGGAUUGUCAGAAGGAGUCUGGAAAAGUGAGGUCUCUCUAGCACCUGAGGGAUGAAGGGGGAAGCAGAAAAGUCAGGAACAGAGAGUAGGAAGGCUGCUACUGACGUAGCUCAGUAUUAUCUGUGGCCUCUGAGAAACAAGUCAGUUAACUUGUCUGAGCCUCAGUUUCCCCAUAAGUAAAAUGGGGAUGAUAAUAGGGGCAUCACUGGGUUGCUGUGAAGGCUUAAUGAAAAACGCACAGGAAGCAUCUAACAGAGUCCCUGACGCUUUCCUUGACCUUCAAUCUGUCUGAUGGAUGAAUGGGUGACUCUUAGGGGUAGAGAAAGACUCAAUGACUUGUAAGUUUAAUUUGCUCUAGAUUACAGCAGGGACGCAACUCCAAUUUUCUUUUCUUUCUUUCUUUUCUUGGUGAAGGUCCAAUUCAAUAUACUAUUUAUUGCCCUCCAUGAAAUGGGUGAAACUAAAGAUAUUUUUAAUUCUUUGUGUUCAGCCACUGAUGAAAUCUGACCAAAGAAAGUAGUUUAUUGCAGGUACCCAGGGGUUAGCCCUGAAUAACGUUGAUCCGCAAAUUUAAAUUAGAUUAAAAGAAAAGAGCUCUAAAAACUUUAACCUAUAGAUGGACUGCACACUCAGAAGCCCUGGGGAAGGGCCAACUCUGGUCACAUUAAUUGUCUCCCCUGUCACUGCCAAAUGACAGAUCUUCUAAUAUGAGGACAGGUUUUAAGUUUCCUAAAUGACACUGUGGAAAAGUGAGCAGAUGGGACCUACACCAGCCCGGGGCAGUGCUUAACUCCCUGCCUAAAAUCACAAAGAAGUUAUGAAACUGAGAAAUCAAACACUUCCUGAGUUAGCAGGGUGUGGAACACACUGGGGUCUGUAUAUAAGACACAAUAUGUUACUUGUGUUAACAAGUGAGAUGGUUGAUGACUUGAUCAUCUAUAAGUAAUCCUUAUAGAGCCAAAAAGCCACGUCCAGCCUGUAAUUGCUCACUCAUCUUUGUUCCGACCACUGGAAGGAGGCUCUGUGAGGGUAGCAACAGGCUCAGCUUAUUCACUGCAUGACUUAAUACCACAUAGUUAACACUCAAAAGAGAUAGACUGAACAAGUCACAUUUUAUUAGGAUACAAGUGACUCAACCUCUAUUGCAUUCUGUGGCGGUUCCACAUGUUUCUCUCCUACCUGGAGUCAAAUCCUGAACUCAAAGGGUUAUUUGAAAAUACUAUGCCUUUAGGUAUGGAGGGUAGGGGGUGUAAUCUGUGGCUUUUCCCUUGAAGAUCCUACCCAAGAUGGGGUUUGGUGGUGUGUGUGGGGUGUGUGUGUGUGUGCGUGUGCGCGUGUGCGCAUGUCCAUCAAUAGGUGCAUUUGUGAAUAUGAGCCACGUAAAAGUUGCAGGUGCAUCUGAAGUCCCUUUUAGCUCUCAUCAGUUUAGCUUCUGGAGAUCUUUUAGCCCCUUGACUCAGCUUUUCUAUCUGCAAAAUGGGGAUGAACUUCAGUGUUCUGUUUCACUGAAGAGAGAGUUCUAAUAAUUACUAUAAUGGUAUUUCUUUGAAUGAAAAAUGUCACUUGACCAGCAGAUACAUUUUAGAAGACUAAAGAUUGAAGGUGGAUUAAUAUCCCAAGGCAGCAUUGCUAAAAUGCAAAACUUUUUCAUCAGAAAAAAACAUACUCAAUGUUUAAUCAAUAUGUGAAAUAUCUUGAAAUCCAAUGUUCACUUUUUAAAACACUAUAUAUGGCACUUUACAAAACAUUUCUAACAAAUGUUGAGUCUUCUUCAUGAAUGGUUCUUCUUUGUAUGGGGAUAAUUGACCCAGUGACCAAAGGUUUCUAGGACAGAUUACAGUUUCCUGUAUUAUUAUUCUCUUUCAUUUUCAGUCACUAGGAAAUUACCACUGCUGCUUGGCAAUGCAAAGAAUUCCCAAUCACCCAAUAUUUUGGCAUGUUUUAAUUGUCUUUCACCUCUGAAUUUUGAAGCUUGCUUCUAUAUUUGAAACUAUUCAGUGCCACCAAGUUGUUUAUUCAGACUAAGAAUUGGAUAUUCCUAUGGCACACUGCCACGUGCCUAUGCCACGAUGCAGAGGUUUUCCUUUCAUUGAAGUUUCACAGUUACUUUUGGAAUUGUCUGCAGGAUUCACGAUUUCAAACACACACACACACACACACACACACACACACAAGACAGGGCAGGGGAGCAGAUGGGAUCUGAGUGCCACAGUGGGCUCAGAACCCCGGGGUUAGAGCACCCUCCUAGCCACCUGGCAGCAAUGCCCUGGCCUGACCAACAGGACCACGUCCUUCUGCUGCCUGCAUUCAGUGAGCUCUAGGGACUGUGGUCAAGUUCACCAAGCCCUGGCCAGAAGAAAGUAUUUAACCAUAAAGUGACCUCAAGCUGCAUUUUUUUGUUUUGAUUUCAACAGUUUCUUUGCUAUGGGAAAAUGUUUCUUUGGGAUAAUGAGUCUGAAGCUGACUGUGCCAUGCCUGGGCCUAUGAAAUGCAUUUUGGCCUGGCUUCCCCUCUCCUAAGCACAUCCAGGCAUGUGGGCUGUUUUGGAGGAGAGAAUGGUUUGGCCAUCUAACCCCACCCAUGUCCAAAUACCUUGCACUGCUGGAAGUAUUUUUAACCAAGCUUUUCUCAUGAAGAUUUCACCUAUUUGUUUAUACUAUUACCUACUAAUGGUAUAAAGCUUUGAAUAAAUGAGCAACUUUCAAACGGUAAAAAACGAUCUUUGGGCAACAAACCAAAAGUUGAAAAAUCUUAAAUAUUUUUUUCUCAAUUUUAACAUAAAUACCAUUGUUAGAGAAAAAAAAAAAGCAGCUUCCCAACAUCUAGCAGUCAUGCAGCCAUGACAUUCCAUGUUUACAUCCACACGUGUCAGCCAAUUUUCUCAAAGCUCCACUGAUUGUCCAAUUGUCCAUUGCAUUUUCCAACUGUUGUCAAAUUUAAUUAGGAAAAGAUCUUUCCAAGUUUCCUGCAAGUUCAGACUCUAAAAUGGGGAUGUUUGUCAUAGCAGUGGAAUUCUUAUACGAAAUAGCAUACACAUGCCAGCUAUGUAUGUUAUAUUGGUCUUUAUUUUUAGCAUUUCAUUCUAUUAAAA